rnacentral:lncRNA from 1 species
CUUCCGCCGCCCGCUUCUCUCGGCACACACACGGUUUCUCUCUGCUCUUCGCAAUCCCCGCUGUCUCCCCACACCGUGGAUCGAACCCUCACCGGCAUCUUGGCGGCGCCCGGGUUUCAACCCAGAGGAGCAGGAUCCAGGUACAGCGGAGCGCUUCCGGUCUGGCAGCCUGGGCGAGGAUGGAACUAUCAAGACUUUAAGGAAGACAAUGCAUUCAAAUUGUUGAUUCACCUGGACAAUCAAAAAGGAUAUAGUCGUCCUCUACAUGGCCAAGACAGUUCUCCAGCCAGUCAAAAUUAUUGGCAAAGUACUCCAUGCAAAAUACCAAUCCUCCGUUGGGACCGAAUCGCAGAGAAUCAUCCUCCAUUACAUCAUCCACCUCGAUCAGUUCCCGGAUGUCUGAAAAGGACAGAUAGGGCCCAGAAUAU